rnacentral:rRNA from 1 species
GAGUGGCGAACUGGUGAGUAACACGUGGGAAACCUGCCCAGAAGCGGGGGAUAACACCUGGAAACAGAUGCUAAUACCGCAUAACAACUUGGACCGCAUGGUCCGAGCUUGAAAGAUGGCUUCGGCUAUCACUUUUGGAUGGUCCCGCGGCGUAUUAGCUAGAUGGUGGGGUAACGGCUCACCAUGGCAAUGAUACGUAGCCGACCUGAGAGGGUAAUCGGCCACAUUGGGACUGAGACACGGCCCAAACUCCUACGGGAGGCAGCAGUAGGGAAUCUUCCACAAUGGACGAAAGUCUGAUGGAGCAACGCCGCGUGAGUGAAGAAGGGUUUCGGCUCGUAAAACUCUGUUGUUAAAGAAGAACAUAUCUGAGAGUAACUGUUCAGGUAUUGACGGUAUUUAACCAGAAAGCCACGGCUAACUACGUGCCAGCAGCCGCGGUAAUACGUAGGUGGCAAGCGUUGUCCGGAUUUAUUGGGCGUAAAGCGAGCGCAGGCGGUUUUUUAAGUCUGAUGUGAAAGCCUUCGGCUCAACCGAAGAAGUGCAUCGGAAACUGGGAAACUUGAGUGCAGAAGAGGACAGUGGAACUCCAUGUGUAGCGGUGAAAUGCGUAGAUAUAUGGAAGAACACCAGUGGCGAAGGCGGCUGUCUGGUCUGUAACUGACGCUGAGGCUCGAAAGUAUGGGUAGCAAACAGGAUUAGAUAC